rnacentral:rRNA from 1 species
UACGGAGGGUGCAAGCGUUAUCCGGAUUCACUGGGUUUAAAGGGUGCGUAGGAGGGCAGGUAAGUCAGUGGUGAAAUCUCCAAGCUUAACUUGGAAACUGCCGUUGAUACUAUCUGUCUUGAAUACCGUGGAGGUGAGCGGAAUAUGUCAUGUAGCGGUGAAAUGCUUAGAUAUGACAUAGAACACCAAUUGCGAAGGCAGCCCGCUACACGAAUAUUGACUCUGAGGCACGAAAGCGUGGGGAUCAAACAGG